rnacentral:rRNA from 1 species
CGGCGUGCCUAAAUCAUGCAAGUCGAGCGGAAUGAUGAAGAAGCUUUGCUUUCUUCUGAUUUUUAGCGGCGGACGGGUGAGUAACACGUGGGCAACCUACCUUGUAGAUUGGGAUAACUCCGGGAAACCGGGGCUAAUACCGAAUAAUCCAUUUUGCUUUCAUGGCGAGAUGUUGAAAGACGGUUUCGGCUGUCACUACAAGAUGGGCCCGCGGCGCAUUAGCUAGUUUGGUAGGGGUAAUGGCCUACCAAGGCGACGAUGCGUAGCCGACCUGAGAGGGUGAUCGGCCACACUGGGACUGAGACACGGCCCAGACUCCUACGGGAGGCAGCAGUAGGGAAUCUUCCACAAUGGACGAAAGUCUGAUGGAGCAACGCCGCGUGAGUGAAGAAGGUUUUCGGAUCGUAAAACUCUGUUGUAAGGGAAGAACACGUACGAGAGUAACUGCUCGUACCUUGACGGUACCUUAUUAGAAAGCCACGGCUAACUACGUG